rnacentral:rRNA from 1 species
AUGGCGGAGGCGCGGAGGGUGUCGUUCCGCGACGGCCGCUUCGCGUCGCGGAAGACGGAGGAGGCUGCAUGGAGACGGCACCAGGCUGCAGCCUGGCUAGAGAGCAUGGUUGGGCCCUUCGGCCUUACCCAUUGCCCAUCGGAACAAGAAUUUGUCGCUGCUCUAAGAAACGGCAUUGUCCUAUGCAAGGCCAUCAACAAAAUACAGCCAGGUGUUGUGCCAAAGGUUGUUGCAAACGCCCCCUGCGAUAGCCAGCCAUCGACGGCUUUUCAGUAUUUCGAGAACAUCCGCAAUUUCUUGGUUGCUGUUCAGGCGCUAAAGUUGCCGAGCUUUGAGGCCUCUGAUUUGGAGAAGGAUAAUCUUGAUGCUGGGUCAGUGGGCAAGAUAGUUGAUUGCGUCAAUUCUCUGAAGUCCUAUCAGGAGCGAAAGAAAUGCAGCGGAACCUAUGGGCCAGUCAAGUAUAUGAAAUCACCUCUUGCACCACGCUCUGCAAUUCAUGUUCAGUCUGAAAAUGUCACUUUAGGAUCUUCUACCCCUCAAAAGUGUCUAGACUUGACAGAGAUUGAUGCCGAGGGACAAUCUUCUCAAAACGUGGGUCCUAACAUGGAAGAGGCAAUUGGAAAACUUCAGAGGAUUAUUCUUGAUUGCAUGAUAAGCUGCAAGGAAAAUCUGAACCAGGACGUUCUUAAAAAGGAUCCAGUAACGCUAGUUGGCACUAUUUUAUCAAAUCAGCUGGAAAAAGAACAGUUCAAACCACUCCUUCAACUUAUUUCUCCAGAAGGGGCUGCUACGAAAAAUGAACCAAAUCAACAUAUCGAGUGUUCAAACUCGCAGAAUGAGAAUAGACUGCGUCUCUUGGAAGCACAGGAAUCUGAACUUUUGGAGCUCAAGACAAUGUUUCAAGAGGUUAAAGUUGAUUUCAGGUCUUUGCAGACCCAAUUCCAAGAUGAUAUCACAGAAUUAGGCCAUAACAUUCAAGGGAUAUCCAAAGCUGCUCUUGGCUAUAACCAAGCUGUGAAAGAAAACAGAAACCUGUAUAACAUGCUUCAAGAAGUGCGAGGGAAUAUCCGAGUCUUCUGCCGGAUAAGACCACUUAUGAACUCAAAGUCUAUUUCUUCAAUUGAACAUGUUGGAAAUGAUGGUUCGAUAAUGGUUUGUGAUCCAUAUAAGCCACAAACUACACGUAAGAUCUUUCAGUUCAACCAAAUUUUUGGGCCAACAACCACUCAAGAUGAGAUUUACAGGGAGACGCAAUCAUUGAUUAGAUCUGUCAUGGAUGGUUAUAAUGUGUGCAUAUUGGCUUAUGGGCAGACAGGUUCUGGCAAAACCCAUACAAUGUGCGGCCCGUCUGGUGGGUUAUCGUCUAACGAUCUUGGAAUUAAUUACAUGGCACUGAACGAUCUCUUCACUAUAUCAACUUCUAGAGAAGAUGUAAAGUAUGAUAUACGAGUGCAGAUGGUUGAAAUAUACAAUGAGCAAGUUCGUGAUCUCCUAAGCGAAGAUACUUCAAGCACGAAAUUAGAUAUAAGGUCUUCAAGCAAUGGUCUGUUCAACCUCCCAGAUGCAAAGAUGUGCCCAGUUCAGUCCCCUUCUGAUGUUAUGACUUUGAUGCUGCUGGGGGAAAAGCACCGUGCUUCUGGUCCAACAGCAAUGAACAAUAGAAGCAGUAGAUCUCACAGUAUCUUGACUGUCCAUGUAAAUGGGAAGGACAUUUCUGGCAAUGUCAGCUGUAGCUGCCUGCAUUUGGUAGAUCUUGCAGGGAGUGAAAGGGUUGACAGGUCAGAAGCCACGGGGGACAGAUUGAAGGAGGCUCAGCAUAUUAACAAGUCACUGUCUUGCCUAGGGGAUGUCAUCACUGCCUUAGCUCAGAAGAAUUCUCACAUUCCCUACAGAAAUAGCAAACUUACCCAAUUGCUACAGAGUUCAUUAGGGGGAAAUGCAAAGACAUUGAUGUUAGCCCACAUAAGUCCGGAGGGGGAAUCUUAUGUAGAAACUCUUAGCACACUGAAAUUUGCCCAAAGGGCUUCUACUGUUGAACUUGGAACUGCUCAUGCAAACAAAGAAAGCAAUGAUAUAAGAGAGCUUAAAGAACAGGUAGAAACUCUCAAAAAGGCAUUGGCAACCAAAGAAUUUGAAAGAUCGUCACUUAAACUGAAGGAAAAUACAGUAACGAGUGAGAGAACAAAGCAACUCCCGCAGCGUACCCCACCAAGGCCGCGUAGGCUAAGUCUAGAGACUACUAGUAGUGAAAAGGGUAGCAUACCAGGAAAGCCACCAAAAUCACCUGUUUCAGCGAUGACGUUCAACAGAGAUCACGGGACAGCUCGUGACAAGGAGUGCCGUAUUGAUGGCUUCAACCGCACAAAGAUCCACGGAUCUGUAAUACAGAUGUCCCCAACAUUAUCUGAAGAGCCAGUCGGACAUGAGAAUGAGAAGAUAGUUACAACAGAUGAUAUGGUUACCUCUUAUCAACUACCCCCUGAUGGUUAUAAUCAAUACAAGCAGUCAGGUUUGGAUACUCUCCAGAGAACACCAUGCAGAUCAAGGUACAUGGGUGUGCAAGUGAGUCAGACGGAAGAACCUUCUGAUGCCAAAUUGGAUAAAACAACCACAAGCAGCGUGGCGAAGAGAGGGUCACAUUUAAGAAGAUCCAUUCAGAGCAGCAUAGGGAAGUUGAUUCAUGGCUCUGAAAGAAGGAAUACUCCACAUUCAGCCCAAGCAACUCCUGCCAAAAUCACAACUAACGCAAAUAAUGACGGCGCAUCUCCAAUUACUACCAACGCGAGGUUAAGAAGAAGACAGUCACUAACAGGUCUCCCACCUCCAUCGACGACCAUGUCACGCAGAUCGUCUCUAGGAGGAAAGUCGGAUUCGAGUUCAAGUGACAGAAAAGCCAAAACGCCACCUCUGAUGAAUUCAGCUGCGAAGGCAAAGAGAUGGCUGUGA